rnacentral:lncRNA from 1 species
AUUGCUUCAUAAUAUAUUUUUUUUUAUUAAAUUUCCUUCAUCAAGAAAUUUACACAUCUUAAAUUAUUUACAUUUAUAUAUCUAUUUAUAACUCGUGAAUAAAAAUUUGUUUCAACAAUACAACAUUUUAAAUCUUUCAAAUUCAUUAGCAAUAAGCACUCACACACAUCUUUUCUUUGUUAAUGAUUACAACCACCUAUAAAAUGCAUGUUUCAUGUAAAAAGGGAGACAACUUUUAUGUUCAAAAAUUGUCAACCAUCUUUUAUGACAGCAUUACAUAAUCAGGGAAUUCCCGCCCAUUAAACAUUUUUUAUAAUUCUAAAUGUAUGCCAACUUUUUGAAUCCCUGUAGUUGGAUUUUAUAAGAUUUAUAAUUUAAUGGUUUAAAGUUAAUCUUAAACAAGUUUUUUUUCUUUUACUGAGAAUAGGAAAAGCGAUAUAUAUCAAUAAGCAUGUUUCACCUUACCAAUGUACUGUACCAAUACCUACAUUUUAUUGGUUAAACUUUGUACAAGCUACAUGUAUAUAUAUUUUGUCUACUGUGAAAUCAAAGAUGCAGAUAUAUAGCGUUAUGUCUCAAUUCAAAAACUUUAUAAAUGCAAAAAUAAGACAUUCAAAUCAAAUCAAAAGUCUACUUAUUCCUUGCAUUUAAACUGUGUUUUCAGAGAGAUCUUUAUACUUUACCAAUAAUUUAUAAUAGUGAAUAAUUAUCUAAUAUGAAAGAUGAUUAAUUAAAUCAUUCACUAUCAGAUGGAAUAUAACAUCAAAAUCUAAGACACUUUACAAAUACAUACACUUAAUUCAUUCAUUGUAACAUACAGUAUCUUAAAAUUAAAUACACACAUAUAAUAUGACAUAUUUACUUUUUUAAAUUAAAUGUUAAGAAUCUUUUUUAAAUAUCUUUCAUAUCUUUUUAAAAUAUAACAGGAAUUAUAACGCCAUGAAAAGGUAAUUCAUUGUCAUGCAGUUUUAAUUCAUUACUCCAAAUGAUUUAAAUGUCAACUUUAAUUUAACAAAAACAUCUGACAGGAAUUUCUACAAGAGUUCUUUUACCAACAUACUACAAUUUUACAGAAGAAAAUUAUACUAAUGUGCCUCUGAUUUUAAUACUGUUUCUACUUUUACAGGAAAACUUGUAUAUUGUUUUCUCCUUCUAUUAGAACAUGUCUUAUUUGCCCAAUACUGAAAAAUAACUAAAUUAGUAAUUGGCAAUGGAAAUAAACAUAACAUUCAUUACAAUAUUAAUGGAUUUAACACUAAGUGAAAAAUCAACACACAAUAAAUAAAUAAGAACAUAAAAAGUCAACACAAUUUUGGAUGAAACUACAAAUAAUAAAACAAUAACUAGAGGCUCUAAAGAGCCUGUGUCGCUCACCUUGGUCUAUGUGACUAUUAAACAAAGGAAGCAGAUGGAUUCAUGACAAAAUUGUAUUUUGGUGAUGGUGAUGUGUUUGUACAUCUUACUUUACUGAACAUCCUUGCAGCUUACAAUUAUCUCUAUCUAUAAUGAAGUUGGCCCAGUAGUUUCAGUGGAAAAUGUUAGUAAAAAUUUACAAAUUUUAUAAAAAUUGUUGAAAAUUGACUAUAAAGGACAAUAACUCCUUAGGGGGUCAAUUGACCAUUUCGGUCAUGUUGACUUAUUUGUAAAUCUUACUUUGCUGAACAUUAUUGCUGUUUACAGUUUAUUUCUAUCUAUAAUAAUUUUCAAGAUAAUAACCAAAAACAGUAAAAUUUCCUUAAAAUUACCAAUUCAGGGGCAGGAACCCAACAACGGGUUGUCCGAUUUAUCUGAAAAUUUCAGGGCAGAUAGAUGUUGACCUGAUAAACAAUUUAUCCCCCUGUCAGAUUUGCUCUAAAGGCUUUGGUUUUUGAGUUAUAAGCCAAAAACUGCAUUUUACCCCUAUCUUCUAUUUUUAGCCAUGGCGGCCAUCUUGGUUGGAUGGCCGGGUCAUCGGACACAUUUUUUAAAACUAGAUACCAAAAGAUGAUUGUGGAUAAGUUUGGAUUAAUUUGGCCCAGUAGUUUCAGAGGAGAAGAUUUUUGUAAAAGAUUACUAAGAUUUACGAAAAAUGGUUAAAAAUUGACUAUAAAGGGCAAUAACUCCUAUAUGGGUCAACUGACCAUUUCGGUCAUGUUGACUUAUUUGUAAAUCUUACUUUGCUGAACAUUAUUGCUGUUUACAGUUUAUUUCUAUCUUUAAUAAUUUUCAAGAUAAUAACCAAAAACAGUAAAAUUUCCUUAAAAUAACCAAUUCAGGGGCAGCAACCCAACAACAGGUUGUCAGAUUCAUCUGAAAAUUUCAGGGUAGAUAGAUCUUGACCUGAUAAACAAUUUUCUAAUAGUCAGAUUUGCUCUUAAUGCUUUGGUUUUUAAGUUAUAAGCCAAAAACUGCAUUUUACCCCUAUGUUCUAUUUUUAGCCAUGGCGGCCAUCUUGGUUGGUUGGGCGGGUCCCUGGACACAUUUUUUAAACUAGAUACCCCAAAGAUAAUUGUGGCCAAGUUUGGAUAAGUUUGGCCCAGUGGUUUCAGAGGAGAAAAUUUUUGUCAAAGAUUACUAAGAUUUAUGAAAAAUGGUUAAAAAUUGACUAUAAAGGGCAAUAACUCCUAUAUGGGUCAACUGACCAUUUCGGUCAUGUUGACUUAUUUGUAGAUCUUACUUUGUUGAAC